rnacentral:rRNA from 1 species
AGCGAACGCUGGCGGCAGGCUUAACACAUGCAAGUCGAGCGGGCGUAGCAAUACGUCAGCGGCAGACGGGUGAGUAACGCGUGGGAACAUACCUUUUGGUUCGGAACAACACAGGGAAACUUGUGCUAAUACCGGAUAAGCCCUUACGGGGAAAGAUUUAUCGCCGAAAGAUUGGCCCGCGUCUGAUUAGCUAGUUGGUGAGGUAAUGGCUCACCAAGGCGACGAUCAGUAGCUGGUCUGAGAGGAUGAUCAGCCACAUUGGGGACUGAGACACGGCCCAAACUCCUACGGGAGGCAGCAGGUGGGGAAUAUUGGGACAAUGGGCGCAAGCCUGAUCCAGCCAUGCCGCGUGAGUGAUGAACGGCCCUAGGGUUGUAAAGCUUCUUUGUGCGGGAAGAUAAUGACGGUACCGCAAGAAUAACGCCCCGGCUAACUUCGUGCCAG